GUCUACGGCCACACCACCCUGAACGCGCCCGAUCUCGUCCGAUCUCGGAAGCUAAGCAGGGUCGGGCCUGGUCAGUACUUGGAUGGGAGACCGCCUGGGAAUACCGGGUGCUGUAGGCU
rnacentral:rRNA from 1 species